GUGAACAUAGGACGUCCAACUUAACUUGGAGUCCGAACUCUCACUUUCUAACCCUGUGCACUUGUUUGGGAUAGUAGUCGACCUAGUCGACGAACUCCUAUUCACUUACAAACACAAAGUCUAUGAAUGUAUUUAAUUUAUAACAAAAUA
rnacentral:misc_RNA from 1 species